CGGAGGCUUACACAUGCACGUCGAGCGGAGUUGUGGUGCUUGCACCAUAACUUAGCGGCGGACGGGUGAGUAAUGCUUAGGAAUCUGCCUAUUAGUGGGGGACAACAUCUCGAAAGGGAUGCUAAUACCGCAUACGCCCUACGGGGGAAAGCAGGGGAUCUUCGGACCUUGCGCUAAUAGAUGAGCCUAAGUCGGAUUAGCUAGUUGGUGGGGUAAAGGCCUACCAAGGCGACGAUCUGUAGCGGGUCUGAGAGGAUGAUCCGCCACACUGGGACUGAGACACGGCCCAGACUCCUACGGGAGGCAGCAGUGGGGAAUAUUGGACAAUGGGGGGAACCCUGAUCCAGCCAUGCCGCGUGUGUGAAGAAGGCCUUUUGGUUGUAAAGCACUUUAAGCGAGGAGGAGGCUACUCUAGUUAAUACCUAGGGAUAGUGGACGUUACUCGCAGAAUAAGCACCGGCUAACUCUGUGCCAGCAGCCGCGGUAAUACAGAGGGUGCGAGCGUUAAUCGGAUUUACUGGGCGUAAAGCGUGCGUAGGCGGCUUUUUAAGUCGGAUGUGAAAUCUCUGAGCUUAACUUAGGAAUUGCAUUCGAUACUGGGAAGCUAGAGUAUGGGAGAGGAUGGUAGAAUUCCAGGUGUAGCGGUGAAAUGCGUAGAGAUCUGGAGGAAUACCGAUGGCGAAGGCAGCCAUCUGGUCUAAUACUGACGCUGAGGUACGAAAGCAUGGGGGAGCAAACAGGAUUAGAUACUCUGGUAGUCCAUGCCGUAAACGAUGUCUACUAGCCGUUGGGGCCUUUGAGGCUUUAGUGGCGCAGCUAACGCGAUAAGUAGACCGCCU
rnacentral:rRNA from 1 species